rnacentral:rRNA from 1 species
AUACGGAGGAUGCGAGCGUUAUCCGGAUUUAUUGGGUUUAAAGGGUGCGCAGGCGGCCAUUUAAGUCAGCGGUUAAAUCGUGGGGCUCAACCCCAUUCUGCCGUUGAUACUGGGUGGCUUGAUUGCGGUCGAGGUUGGCGGAAUUCGUUGUGUAGCGGGGAAAUGCAUAGAUAUGACGAAGAACACCGAUUGCGUAGGCAGCUGACCAGACCGCAAAUGACGCUCAUGCACGAAAGUGCGGGGAUCGAACAGGAUUAGAUACCCUGGUAGUCCGCACAGUAAACGAUGAAUACUUGUUUUCGGCGAUAUAAUGUCGGAGGCAAAGCGAAAGCGAUAAGUAUUCCACCUGGGGAGUACGCCGGCAACGGUGAAACUCAAAGGAAUUGACGGGG